UUGGUUAAGUUAGAAAGGGCGCACGGUGGAUGCCUUGGCACUAGGAGCCGAAGAAGGACGGGACUAACACCGAUAUGCUUUGGGGAGCUGUACGUAAGCGUUGAUCCAGAGAUUUCCGAAUGGGGGAACCCACUAUCUUUAGUCGGAUAGUAUCCUUACGUGAAUACAUAGCGUGAGGAAGGCAGACCCAGGGAACUGAAACAUCUAAGUACCUGGAGGAAGAGAAAGAAAAAUCGAUUUCCUGAGUAGCGGCGAGCGAAACGGAAAGAGCCCAAACCAAGAAGCUUGCUUCUUGGGGUUGUAGGACACUCUAUACGGAGUUACAAAAGAAAGUUAUAAAUGAAGCGGUCUGGAAAGGCCCGCCAAAGACGGUAACAGCCCGGUAGUUGAAAUGGCUUUCCCUCCAGAGUGGAUCCUGAGUACGGCGGAACACGUGAAAUUCCGUCGGAAUCCGGGAGGACCAUCUCCCAAGGCUAAAUACUCCCUAGUGACCGAUAGUGAACCAGUACCGUGAGGGAAAGGUGAAAAGCACCCCGGAAGGGGAGUGAAACAGUUCCUGAAACCGUGUGCCUACAAGUAGUUAGAGCCCGUUAAUGGGUGAUAGCGUGCCUUUUGUAGAAUGAACCGGCGAGUUACGAUUUGUUGCAAGGUUAAGCGGAAAAAGCGGAGCCGUAGCGAAAGCGAGUCUGAAUAGGGCGCAUAAGUAACAGGUCGUAGACCCGAAACCAGGUGAUCUACCCAUGUCCAGGAUGAAGGUAAGGUAAUACUUACUGGAGGUCCGAACCCACGCACGUUGAAAAGUGCGGGGAUGAGGUGUGGGUAGCGGAGAAAUUCCAAUCGAACUUGGAGAUAGCUGGUUCUCUCCGAAAUAGCUUUAGGGCUAGCCUCGAGGUAAAGAGUCAUGGAGGUAGAGCACUGUUUGGACUAGGGGCCCUUCUCGGGUUACCGAAUUCAGAUAAACUCCGAAUGCCAUGUACUUAUACUCGGGAGUCAGACUGCGAGUGAUAAGAUCCGUAGUCGAAAGGGAAACAGCCCAGACCACCAGUUAAGGUCCCCAAAUAUAUGUUAAGUGGAAAAGGAUGUGGGGUUGCUUAGACAACCAGGAUGUUGGCUUAGAAGCAGCCACCAUUGAAAGAGUGCGUAAUAGCUCACUGGUCGAGUGACCCCGCGCCGAAAAUGUACCGGGGCUAAACAUAUUACCGAAACUGUGGAUGAACCUCUUCGGAGGUUCGUGGUAGGAGAGCGUUCUAAGGGCGGUGAAGUCAGACCGGAAGGACUGGUGGAGCGCUUAGAAGUGAGAAUGCCGGUAUGAGUAGCGAAAGAAGGGUGAGAAUCCCUUCCACCGAAUAUCUAAGGUUUCCUGAGGAAGGCUCGUCCGCUCAGGGUUAGUCGGGACCUAAGCCGAGGCCGAUAGGCGUAGGCGAUGGACAACAGGUAGAGAUUCCUGUACCAGUGCUAAUUGUUUAACCGAUGGGGUGACACAGAAGGAUAGGGAAUCGCACGAAUGGAAAUGUGCGUCCAAGCAGUGAGUGUGAGAAGUAGGCAAA
rnacentral:rRNA from 1 species